GACGAACGCUGGCGGCGUGCUUAACACAUGCAAGUCGAACGGAAAGGCCCCUUUGGGGGUCCUCGAGUGGCGCACGGGUGAGUAACACGUGAGUAACCUGCCCUUGACUUCGGGAUAACUUCAGGAAACUGGGGCUAAUACCGGAUAGGAAUCCUUGCUGCAUGGUGGGGGUUGGAAAGCUUCGGCGGUUUUGGAUGGACUCGCGGCUUAUCAGCUUGUUGGUGGGGUAGUGGCUUACCAAGGCUUUGACGGGUAGCCGGCCUGAGAGGGCGACCGGCCACAUUGGGACUGAGAUACGGCCCAGACUCCUACGGGAGGCAGCAGUGGGGAAUAUUGCACAAUGGGCGGAAGCCUGAUGCAGCAACGCCGCGUGCGUGAUGACGGCCUUCGGGUUGUAAACCGCUUUCAGCAGGGGCGAAGCUUGUGGUGACGGUACCUGCAGAAGAAGCACCGGCUAACUACGUG
rnacentral:rRNA from 1 species